CCUACGGGUGGCAGCAGUGGGGGAUAUUGCACAAUGGGGGAAACCCUGAUGCAGCGACGCCGCGUGAGUGAAGAAGUAUUUCGGUAUGUAAAGCUCUAUCAGCAGGGAAGAAAAUGACAGUACCUGACCAAGAAGCCCCGGCGAACUACGUGCCAGCAGCCGCGGGAAUACGUAGGGGGCAAGCGUUAUCCGGAUUUACUGGGUGUAAAGGGAGCGUAGGCGGGUAUGGAAGUCUGGAGUGAAAGACCGGGGCCCAACCCCGGGAAUGCUUUGGAACCUGUGUAACUGGAGUAAAGGAAGGGCAGGCGGAAAUCCUGGGGUAGCGGGGGAAUGCGGAGAUAUCAGGGGGAAAACCGGGGGCGAAGGCGGCCUGCUGGACUGAAACUGGCGUUGAGGCUCGAAAGCGUGGGGAGCAAACAGGAUUAGAUAACCCGGGUAGUC
rnacentral:rRNA from 1 species